ACUACUGGGUGUUUAACGUAAAGACUGAAACAUAGUGAUCUGAGGGACACAUGCAUCCCAAUGUUUAUAACAGUAAUGUCCACACUAGUCAAACAAUGGAAAGAGACCAGAUGUCUACAGACAGAUGAAUGGAUAAAGAAGAUGUGGUAAACACACACAAUGGAAUAAUAUG